AAUCAACGCUGGCGGCGUGCCUAACACAUGCAAGUCGAACGCGAAAGCCCCUUCGGGGGCAAGUAGAGUGGCGUCCGGGUGAGUAACACGUGGGUAAUCUACCUCCGGGUGGGGAAUAACUCGCCGAAAGGCGGGCUAAUACCGCAUAAUGCAGCGGCACCGAAUGGUGAUUAGUUGUUAAAGCGGGGGACCUUAGGGCCUCGCGUCUGGAGAGGAGCCUGCGGCAGAUUAGCUUGUUGGUAGGGAAUGGCCUACCAAGGCUGCGAUCUGUAGCUGGUCUGAGAGGACGGCCAGCCACACUGGCACUGACACACGGGCCAGACUCCUACGGGAGGCAGCAGUGGGGAAUUUUGGGCAAUGGGCGAAAGCCUGACCCAGCAACGCCGCGUGAAGGAGGAAAUCCUUCGGGAUGUAAACUUCACAAGCAAGGGAAGAGCGCGCAGGGUCGAAUAAACUCUGCGUCCGACGGUACCUUGCGUAAGCCACGGCUAACUACGUGCCAGCAGCCGCC
rnacentral:rRNA from 1 species